rnacentral:lncRNA from 1 species
UCCACACAACCACGGUUACAUAAAGUCCACUUGCCUUAAAAAAUUAUAAAAAAUCAACUUUUAAAAAUCAAAUUUAAUUAUAAAAGCCAAUUUUAAUAAUAAUAGAAAAUUACAUUUUUCUCCCGACAUCUUAGCUUCGGUCAAUAAUCACUGGCCUCUAAUUUUUAAAAUCAAGUGCAAUGUCACAAUAUAUCCAUGAGCAGAUUUGUUGAGGAAUCCAGGGAAAUGAAUUGAGUACAUAUUGACAUCCUAUGUAUGUAUCUCAAUUUCUGCAAAUUAUAAUUUUUCCCAAACAUGAUAAUCAAUUUAAAAUCUCAUGUGUAGGAGUACAUAAGAUGUAGGGUAGCAGGAGAGAAAAAACAUAUUAAUUUCAAAUCGUGCAGGUAUUUUUACCUUCUGUUGAUAGAUCCGAGAUUCCUAUGAAUUAACCAUGUGGGGUGGGCUUAUCAUCCUCCACAAUGAUGAAAUUCCAUUCCAUCGCCAGAGACAUUGACUUUGUCUAAAUCCUUAUGGUAAAGGUUGUGGAAAAAAAUGCAGGCCAUGCAAUCACAGGACACUGGUACAAGACUCUUCCAAUCUUAUUCGAUCAUUCCAUAGUUGUGGCUUGUGUGGCUUGAUGUUUCGACAUCCAUUACCUGCAUUUGCUGAUCCCCAAUUAAUUAAAUUGCUUCCAUUUUCGUAACUUCUAUAGUCGAAUAAUAGGAAUAACAAAUUAUGUGAUUCGACUGAACCAAAAGAAGUUUGAGCAAUGAAGGAAAUAAUGGCAACAAGGGUUAACAUUUUGUGGAUAAUAUAUAAAAGGACUGAACUUUUUUGGUCCACAAAUGAAGGUAGAAAAUAAGAAUUUUGACUAGUGGGAGAUUUCAAUGUCAAUAUCUUAUCACAGCAAGUGGUAAUCACAAAUUUUGUUACAGUGGGAUCAAGCUAAUCUGAAAACUUUGUUUUAGCUUCCUUUCCUUUCAAUGUUCAUGACAAGAUAAUUAGAUGCAAGUUUCUCUCCUUUUUUUCUUGCUUCUCGAUUUAAUCAAGUUAAGAUGUAAUAGAAAGGUCCAUAUCUAUCAAUUUAUGAGCUCUCU